GCCCGCCCCGCAGAGCGUGAAUGGAGCGCCCUGCCGCAGCGGCGCCAACCGGCCCUCAGCCGCCUCUGCUGCUGCACAUGCUCGGGAUUGCUGGCGAUACCUACCCUUCCCGGCUGCCUCCCGAAAGCCAGCGGCGACCAUCCCUCCGCCAAGGCGAGGCUCCUCUUCUCCGCAGCUGGGCGAGGAGCGGGAGGAUGAGGCCCCCUCCCCUCACCAGGCGACCCUUUUCUCUCUAUUGCUGAAAAUUCCAAGGGUGACAUCAACUUGGAGAAAGAAAGUGGGUUUGAUGUAGGAGGACAGAAUAGGAGAAGUAAGGCAACGAGACAGUAAAUUUAUGGUCCAUGAACUCUGGAAGAUGACAUCAAUGCAAAAAUGGGUUUCUGUUGAGCGUCUUCAGGCAAUAAAUUCAUUGGAGAAUCCUUGCGGGGCGGAGACGAUGGGCGCUAUGAGGUCACGGCAGCCAGUGAAGAUCCAGGAUUAAAUCUGAAGGCAUUGAAUGGCAGGAAACAGAGCUCCCUUCGACAGACUCUGCCAAAGUUACUCGUAGCACAGGUGGACAGUCAACCCAGCAAAUCUGGUUUAGGACCCAACAGUUUCACCUCAAGGGAAAGUACCAAAGAGGUUCUCCUUGGAAACCUCCCCAGGAACGCUUUGCUGAAUCGCUUACUAGGCAAGGACAGGAAACGGGGCAGUCUCUCGGAAUGCUUCUGGAAAUACUGUGUGUAACCCACUGGAAAUGCGCGACUCCAUCUUCAGCAAAUCACCUGCCUGCCCUUUAAUUUAUGAAGAUGUUAUUGAGAACUGUAGAAUUCUGUAUACAAAAUGACAAUAAAAGAAGUGUGGUGUUGGCA